rnacentral:lncRNA from 10 species
CUCCAGCAUGGGCAACAGAGCGAGACUCCAUCUUAAAAAAUAAUACACCUAACAUAUCAAACAUCCUAGCUCAUCCUAGCCUACCAUAAAUGUGCUUAGAACACUUAAAUUAGUCUACAGUUGGGCAAAAUAAUCUAACACAAAGCCUAUUCUAAUAUCUCAUAUAAUUUAUUGAAUACUGUUCUGAAAGUGAAAAUCAGAAUGAUUGUAUGGGUACUUGAAGUAGAGUUUCUACUGAAUAAACAUUGCUUUUGUAUCAUCAAAAAGUCAAAAAAUUAUAAGUUAAAUCAUUAUCACUGGGGGCCAUCUGUAUAUACAUAUGAUGAUAUAUAUCCCAUCAUUAAGUGAUACAUGACUGUGUACUAUAUACUUAAGCAGUAUAUAUAUAGAGUACAUAUAGUUUUGUACUAUAUAUAGAGAGAGUAAUGGAUCACUUAAUGAUGGGGAAUAUGUUCUGAGAAAUUAGUCAUUAGGCAAUUUCAUUUUUGUAUGAGUAUCAUAGAGUAUAUUUACAUAAACCUAGAUGGCAUAGUCUAUACACAUAUAGGCUAUAUGGUAUAGCCUAUUGCUCCUAGGCUACAAACCUGUACGACAUAUUAAUAAAAAGGUACAGCAUUUUACUAUACCUUUUCUGUGUUUAAAUACACAAAUACUAUUGUAUUACAAUUACGUAUAGUACUGAAUACUAUAUUACAAUUAUGUACUGUAUUACAAUAGUAAUGGUACUAUACCAUAGUUAAUUGUAAUACAGUAUAUAAUUGUAAUAUAGAAUUCAAUACUAUAGGUAAUUAUAAUACAAUAGUAUUUGUGUAUCUAAACAUAGAAAAGGCAUAGUAAAAAUAUGAUACAAAAGGUUUUUAAAGUGGUCCACCUGUUUAGGGCACUUACCAUGAACAGAGCUUGCAGGACUGCAAGUUGCUCUGGAUGAGUCACUCCCUGAGUGAGUAGUGAGUGAAUGGUGUGAGUGAGUGAGUGAAUGUGAAGGCCUAGGACAUUAUUGUACGCUACUGUAAACUUUAUAAACAAUGUACGUUUAGGUAACUCUAAAUUUAUUUAAAAAGUUUUCUUUCUUUAAUAACCUUAGCUUACUGUAACUUUUUUAGUUUAUAAACUUUUAAAUGGUUUUAAACCUUUUGACUAUUUCAUAAUAACACUUAAACACAAAUACAUUGUGCAGCUGUACAAAAAUAUUUUCUUUAUAUCCUUUGUAUCUUGACAUCCCUAUUCCACGUACCUUUUCUAUUUUUAAUUUUCUUUUAUUUUAUAACUAUUUUGCUAAAAAUGUAGACACAAACACACAUCUUGGCCUGGGCCUAUGCUGGUGGAAAAUACCACUGUUUACCACUUCUACCUGUUGUCCUGGGACAUAUUGCCCCUGAAGGAUGGGCUUAGGGUGUGACUUUGCUCAUUUCCUUUUUGUCACCUCACAAAGCCCUGCUUUGUUUGCUUUAUCUAAGACCUCUGUGCUACCUAGCUAAGUUUGGCUUCCUGUCCAAUGCUGUUCACUCUGUCUCCAUGGAUCCAGCUCAAUUGGAAGAAAAAGCAGAUGAAGGCCUGAAUGUCUACUGAGUUUUCAGUGACUUCCUCAAACUUCUCACUUACCUUUCAGUGCUGGCAUCGUCCAGGUCAUAGGAGAAAGUAGUAGGGGUGACUCAAAUAUUUAGUAUUUGCACAGUAAAAAUGUCCAGCUAUGCCAGGUGGAGUGGCUCACACCUAUAAUCCCAGUGCUUUGGGAGGCUGAGCAGGAGGAUUGCAUGAGGCCAAGAGUAUGAGACCAGCCUGGGCAACAUAGUGAGACUCUGUGUCUACAAAAAGUUUUUUUUUUAAAAAAUUAGCUGGGCAUGGUGGCAUGUGUCUGUAGUUCUAGCUACUUGGGAGGCUGAGGUGGGAGGAUCAUUUGAGCCCAGGAGUUUGUGGCUGCAGUGAACUAUGGUUGCACCAUUGCACCCCAGCCUGGGCGAUAGAGGGAGACCCUGCUUGUAAAAAGCAAGCCAAGCUCUUUACUGGCUGAAAUUGCAUGGAGUAAGGGAGGGAGUCGAAAUUCUGGGGCAGAGAACUACCUUUUGUUGUUCAUAUGUGUUUGUCUUUAAUAAUGUUCCCCAGUAUCUUAUGUUAAUGAGGAACAUUAAUGCUUUGACAUCGUUUCACGGUGCCACUUCAGGGAAUCACUCUUGCUUAUUCUAAGGAGGAUUUGGAGCUGUACCGAGCUAAAAGUCUGAAUUUGGAGAUGAUAGUGGUGACCUUAUAGGCAAUAUCAGGUACAGAUGGAGCUUUAAUAGUGAAAAAGUAGACUGCUCAGAGUAAGUAUGGAGGAUCAUACUUCUGCAUACACUGAAUGUAGUUGUUUCUUUUCCACACAAGCACUCUCUACAAGAGAGGUUUCUUUAGAAAGAAUUGGACCUGAUGGAGGGUCAUUCUAUCAGAAUGAAUUUUUUAGGUUUCUUCCUUACAGUUAACAUCUCUGAAAGGUACGGAUACAAGUUAUCUACAGGGUAACACCUGUAGAUAUGAUGCAACAGGCUUAUGCCAUUGGAGAGUGAAUAGUCAACCUUCUGAAAACAGUGUACACCACCGGAAGGGCAAGAAAAAAAACUACAAUAUAGAACAUCUUUCUGACCUUGAGGUCAGGAAGUCCUCCUCGACAAGACACAAAAAAGAAAAAUCACAAAGGAAAAGAAUGACAACUUGACUCCAUCAAAAUUAAAAACAGAUAUUGCAUUUUUUUCCAGAUUGAAGGUUUGUGGCAACCCUGCAUCAAGCAAGUCUAUAAGCAUCAUUUUUCCAACAGUAUGUGCUCACUUAUUGUCUGGGUGACAUUUUAGUAAUUUGCACAUUUCAAGCUUUUUCAUUAUUUGUAUAUCUGUUAUGGUGAUCUGUGAUCAGUAAUCUUUGAUAUUACUAUUAUAUUUCAAAUGUUUUGGGACACCAUGAACUGGACCCACCUUAACAGAACUUAAUCUAUAAAUGUUCUCUAUAGAACUUAAUCUAUAAAAGUUCUUUAUCAAACGAAUCUAUAAACGUGCAUGUUCUGAUAGUUCCACUAAUCAGCUGUUUCCCAUCUCUCUCUCUCUCCUCAGGCCUCCCUAUUCCCUGAGACACAACAAUAUUAAAUUAGGCCAAUUAAUAAUGCCACAAUGGCCUCUAAGAGUUUGAGUGAAAUGAAGAGUUGUCUAUCUAUCUAUCUAUCUAUCUAUCUAUCUAUCUAUCUAUCUAUCUAUAAUCCAUCUAUUUAUUUUUGAGACAGAUUCUUGCUCUGUCGCCCAGGCUGGAGUGCGGUGGCACUAUCUCGGCUCACUGCAACCUCCACCUCCUGGGUUCAAGCAAUUUUCCUGCCUCAGCUUCCCUAGUAGCUGAGAUUACAGGUGCCCAACACUAUGCCCAGCUUUUUUUUUUUUUUGUAUUUUUAGUAGAGAUGGGGUUUCACCAUGUUGGUCCAGCUGAUCUCGAUCUCCUGACCUCAAGUGAUCCACUGGUCCUUGGCCUCCCAAAGUUCUGAGAUUACAGGAGUGAGCCACUGCGCCCGACCAUAUCUCUCAUUUUAAAUGAAAAGCUAUAAAUGACUAACAUUAGUGAGGAAGGCAUGUGGAAAGGUGAGACAGGUUUGAAAGCUAGGCCUCUUGCACCAAUUGGUUAGCCAAGUUGUGAAUGCAAAGGAAUAGUUCUUGGAGGAAAUUAAAGUGCUACUCCAGUGAACAUAUGAAUAAUAAGAAAGUGAUACAUGCUUAUUACUGAUAUGAAGAAAAGUUUUUGUGUCUGAAUAGAAGAUCAAAUCAGCCACAACAUUUCCUUAAACCAAAGCCUAAUCCAGAGAAAGUCUCCAACUCUCUUCAAUUCCAUGAAGGCUGAUAGAGGUGAGGAAGCUAGCAAAGAUUAAAACCUAGUAUAGGCUAAGGAAGAAGCUGUCUCCAUAACCUAGAAGUGCAAGGUGAAGCAGCAACUGCUGCUGUGGAAGCUGUAGCAAGCUGUCCAGAAGAGUUAGCUAAGAUCAUUGAUGAAGGUGGCUACACUAAACAGCAGAUUUUCAAUGUAAACAAAGCAGCCUUCUAUUGCAAGAAGAUGCCAUCUAGGACUUUCAAAGCUAGAGAGAAGUCAAUGACUGGCUUCAAAGGAUGGGCCGACUCUGUUGUUAGGAGCUAAUGCAACUGGUGACUUUAAGUUGAAGCCAAAGCUCAUUGACCAUUCUGCAAAUCCUAGGGCCUUAAGAAUUAUGCUGUUUCUACUCUUCCUGUGCUCUAUAAAUGAAAAAACAAACUCUAGAUGGGAGCCCAUCUGUUUACAGUAUGGUUUACUGAAUAUUUUAAGCCCACCAUUGAGACCUAUUUCUCAGAAUAAGAGUCUUUUCAAAAUAUUACUGCUCAUUGACAAUGCACUUGAUUACCCAAGAGGUCUGAUGGAGAUGUGCAGAAGAUUAAUGUUGCUUUCAUGGAUGCUAAUUCAGCAUCCAUUCUACAGCUCAUGGAUCAAGGAGUAAUUUUGACUUUCAGAUUUGCUAUUUAAGAAAUACUUUACAUAGUGCUCAGCUGCCCUAGUGAUUCCUUUGAUGAAUCUGGGCAAAGUCAAUUGAAAGUCUUUUCAAAAGAGUUCACCAUUCUAGAUGCCAUUAACAACAUUCACAAUUCAUGGCAGGAGGUCAAAAUAUCAACAUUAACAGAAGUUUAGAAGAAGACGGUUCCAACCCUAACAGAUGAUUUUGAGGGGUUCAAGACAUCAGUGCGAUGAAGUAACUGAAGAUGUGGUGGAGAUGUAAAGAAGACUAGAAUUAGAAGCAGAGCCUGAAUUUGGGACUAAAUUGGUGCAAUCUCAGGAUAAAACUUGAACAAACGAGGAGUGGUUUUUAUGGAUGUGUAAAGAAAGGUUUCUUGGUAUGGAAUCUACUUCUGGUGAAGAUGCUGUGAGCAUUGUUGAAACGACAACAAAGGACAUAGAAUAGUACAUAAACUUAGUUGAUAGAGCAGUGAGAUAGGGCUUGAGAGGAUUGACUCCAAUUUUGAAGGAAGUUCUACUGUGGGUAAAAUGCUAUCAAACAGCAUUGCAUACUAGAGAAAUAUUGCAUGAAAUGAACAAUCAAUUGAUGCAGCAAACUUCAUUGUUUUCUUAUUUUAAGAAAUUGCCAUGGAUGCUUCAACUUUAGGCAACAACCACUGUAGUCAGUCAGCAGCCAUCAAAGUAGAGAAGACCCUCCACCAGCACAAAGCUUACAACUUACUCAAGGCCAAGAUGAUUAUUAGCUUUUUUAGCAAUAAAUUAUUUUUAAAUUAUGGCAUGUACGUUGUUUUUUAUACAUAAUGCUACUGGACACUUAAUGGUCUACAGUAUAGUAUAAACAUAACUUUUACAUGCACUGGGAUGCCAAAAAAAUUCAUGUGACUUGCUUUAUUGUGAUGAUCUGGAACCAAACCUGCAAUAUCUCUGAGUUAUGCCUGUACUUGUUUCUUUUUUAUUAAUUUAGUUAUUAUUAAAUGUGUGUAUUUCACUAGACCAGCUAUUUUCUGUAGAGCUCAUUACAGUUAGGUAGAGAGAGUCAUCACCACACAGAAUAAUUCUCUGUGUAAAAUAUUUCUCCACAAGUUUCUGCCACAGAAGCAGAUAGCUUCCUGCAAAUAUGGCUUGUUUAUGUGAUUUUUUUUAGAGCCACUCAUAUUUUGCUACUCUAAAUCAAGCCAUUUCCUGCCUUGCUCAACACAGCUCCUACAUCCUUGUAAACAAGAAUUACAGUUUUUAGAUUUCAGAAUAUGUCUUCAAUUUUUAGAAAGCUGUGUUUUUGCUGGUGCUUUUUGAGACUCAAGACAACAGUGGACAGGUUCCACUUUCUGUGAUUUGACUCCUUUUUAACUCCUUUAUUAACUUCUUCCCAAUCUUAAUUGUUUUUAGCAACUCAUAGUUAUAUUUAGGGAUCUACACAUGAUAUGUAUUUUAGCUUCAUUGAAAAUGUUUUUAUUUAAUUCCAAUUUUUCAUUCUUCUUGGUUUUGUAUACUUUUGGAAGAGUAGGUUUGGGAGUAGGGAGAAUUCCUGACUGAUAGCAGUCACAUUCUCAUUAGAAGUUAAGGGCUUCUAAUGAAAUUUUUCAUGAUUUCUUUUAAUAUGAUGUUUUCGUGUGAUUCCUCCAGCUAAUGUAGAUGUGACUGCCAUUCUGACCAUGACAUGCUACUGUGCAUAGUAAGCCCCUUUGGGCUUUGCCCAUACCUGAAAAGUCUUUCUGAAAACCUCACCACUGACUUCUUUUCACUUAACUUACUCAGAUGUGUCCUUGGAGAUCUGUAUUGAGUAUCUCUUCUCUCUAGAAGCUUUCCCUUACAUCCCCUGUACUUGCAUCCCACCUUUGUACUUUACUUGCAUCUCACCCUGGGGUACUUCCUUUGCUCUUAUUUCCCUAGACCACAAUGAUCUGCUUACUCCUGUAUAGAUUCUAGAAGGUACUGUAUAAAGUAUUCUCAGGAGAUGCUUCUUCAAGAUGCAUUGUGAAAACAGUGUGGUGUGAUCAAAUAUUUGGGAAAUGCUGCAUAUUAUAUUCUUAGUCUUAGAGAGUCACAAUUUAUAUAUUAGAAUUUGCAAAAGGUCUUAAAAAAAGAAGUCUGUUAAUAUUGAUAUAACCAAUAGCAUACCAAAAGUAGUUGUUUAUGAAACCCCCAUUUAUGUGUGACAGAGUGUUAAUACAUGCUGGGAAGCUACACAAGAAAUGCCUCCUUGAUGUGACUAUGGUAGGAUCCUCAGCUCCUAGUCCAGUGCCUGGUACAUUGUGCUACUUAAUAUAUGCCUGUUGAAUGACUUAAUCUACCUUAUACACUAUCCCAGAUGCUUAGUUGUUUACAGAAACGUGUUAUAAGUUGGUUUUACAUACAAGGGAUCACAAUGGCAUAAACUCUGGAGAGCUGUGUAGGUCUGCUUCAGAUAAAUAGAUUUGGCUCCAAUGUUGAAUGUUAUUUUUGAGUCAUGGGGACAUUUACUAAGCAAAAAGCAUUCAGGGGAGGGUGGCCAGGUUAUUUAAGGGAUUUGGAAAACCUUUAUGCAUGGAGUGAUGAGAAGUAGUGGAUACAUUUAGUUUGGAGAAGAUAAUGCUAAUAAGAAAAUUUUAUCUUUAAAUAUUGAACAGUGACUAAGAUAUCAUUUUACCAGUCAAAAAUUUCACAGUAUAGUAAAAAAAAAAAAAAAAACAACAAACUGAUUACAACAUAAUGAAAUAAGUGUCCUGGCAAAACAUCUUCAGCAUCAGAGAAAAGAGUGAAUAGUUUGCUUGGAGGAUUGGGUGUGUGGGUAGUCAGGGAGACUUCUCUGAGGGGGCAGCAUCUGAGCAUAUUUUAAGGGUGAGCAUGUGUGGAGCGCUCCAUAUCACAACACAGUCUACCUCUGAAGAAAGAUCUAGGUGAAAGUUUAGAGUUUAUUUAUCUUUAAUGGAAAACUGUUAUGUUUGGAUGAGAGAGCUGUUUCUGUCAAUUGUUCUACAUUGAACACUUCCAAGUUGUGGCAUAAUGCAGCAUGCAGUGGCUGAAAAUAUAUGAAGCACUUUUUGAGUUGCUGACUUAAAAGUGAAUCAUUGAAUAAUAUUUUUCUUAUUUAGGUUUAAGCUUAUUGUUUUUGUUGUUGUUGUUGUUUUGUUUGUUUUGUUUUUUUUUUUUUUUUUGAGACAGAAUCUCACUCUGUUGCCCAGGCUGGAGGGCAGUGGUGUGAUCUUGGCUCACUGUAGCCUCUGCCUCUUGGGUUCAAGCGAUUCUCAUGCCUCAGCCUCCCAAGUAGCUGGGACUGCAUGUGUGCGCCACCAUGCCCAGCUAAUUUUUGUAUUUUUAGUAGAGAUGGGGUUUCAUUACACUGGCCAGGCUGGUCUCAAACUCCUGGCCUCAAGUGAUCCACCUGCCUCGGCCUCCCUAAGUGCUGGGAUUACAGGCGUGAGCCAUCUUUCCCAGCCUAAGAUGAUUCUAUUUAUGAUGACCUGUUCUUGGUAAUGCGCUUCUUUUUUUUUUAAAGGAGGUGAGAAAUUCUGUGGGCUUCAAAGGAGUGUUGAUUUUAGGUGGCUCAGCAUACGGCUGAAAUGCUUGUAGUUUACAUUGUAAAAUAUUGACUUUAUAAGUAGAUCAUUCUAUAAGAUACAUGAAUUCAAUACUUAUCUUUCUACUCAUUGUAGAUUUCCAGAGUUCUAUAUCAUCAGAAGGGCUGAAACAUAUUCAGAAAAUAGACAGUUUGGGCCAGGCACAGUGGCUCAUGCCUGUAAUCCCAGCACUUUGGGAGGCCGAGGUGAGCGGAUCAUGAGGUCAAGAGAUCGAGAUCAUCCUGGCCAACAUGGUGAAACCCUGUC